UACGUGAGGGGCGAACGUUGUUCGGUGUCACUGGGCUUAAAGGGCGCGUAGGUGGCUGUGCAAGUAAGGUGUGAAAGCCCUCGGCUUACCCGGGGAAUUGCGCCUUAAACUGCAUGGCUUGAGGGUCUCAGGGGAUAGGGGAACUCCAGGGUGUAGCGGUGAAAUGCGCAGAUAUCGGAAGGAACACCAGUGGCGAAAGCGGCUUCCUGGUCCAGCACCGACAUUCAGGCACGAAAGCGUGGGGAGCAAACAGG
rnacentral:rRNA from 1 species